GGUUAAGUGGGAAACGAUGUGGGAAGGCUCAGACAGCUAGGAGGUUGGCUUAGAAGCAGCCAUCCUUUAAAGAAAGCGUAAUAGCUCACUAGUCGAGUCGGCCUGCGCGGAAGAUGUAACGGGGCUAAACCAGGUACCGAAGCUACGGGUUCAUUCUUAGGAAUGAGCGGUAGAGGAGCGUCGUGUAAGCCGAUGAAGGUGUGUUGAGAAGCAUGCUGGAGGUAUCACGAGUGCGAAUGCUGACAUGAGUAACGAUAAAGGGAGUGAAAAACUCCCUCGCCGGAAGACCAAGGGUUUCUGUUCGACGCUAAUCGGAGCAGAGUGAGUCGGCCCCUAAGGCGAGGCCGAAAGGCGUAGUCGAUGGGAAACGGGUCAAUAUUCCCGUACCGGACAUGAUUGCGAUGGGGGGACGGAGAAGGCUAGGUGAGCCAGGCGUUGGUUGUCCUGGUGAAAGUGAGUAGGCUGGGGUCUCAGGUAAAUCCGGGACCCUCCAAGGCCGAGACACGAAACGAAGACACUACGGUGUCGAAGUCAUUGAUGCCACGCUUCCAGGAAAAGCCUCUAAGCUUCAGAUCAUGUGCGACCGUACCCCAAACCGACACAGGUGGUCAGGGUGAGAAUCCCAAGGCGCUUGAGAGAACUCGGGUGAAGGAACUAGGCAAAAUGGUGCCGUAACUUCGGGAGAAGGCACGCCGGCGUAGGGUGAGAGGACUUGCUCCUUCAGCCCGAACCGGUCGAAGAUACCAGGUGGCUGCAACUGUUUAGUAAAAACACAGCACUCUGCUAACGCGCAAGCGGACGUAUAGGGUGUGACGCCUGCCCGGUGCCGGAAGGUUAAGUGAUGGUGUUAGGAUUCGUCCGAAGCUCUUGAUCGAAGCCCCGGUAAACGGCGGCCGUAACUAUAACGGUCCUAAGGUAGCGAAAUUCCUUGUCGGGUAAGUUCCGACCUGCACGAAUGGCGUAAUGAUGGCCACGCUGUCUCCACCCGAGACUCAGUGAAAUUGAAAUCGCCGUGAAGAUGCGGUGUACCCGCGGCUAGACGGAAAGACCCCGUGAACCUUUACUAUAGCUUCACACUGGACGCUGAUGUUGCCUGUGUAGGAUAGCUGGGAGGCUUAGAACCUCGGACGCCAGUUCGGGUGGAGCCAACCUUGAAAUACCAGCCUGGCAUCAUUGGCGUUCUCACUCAGGUCCGUGAUCCGGAUCGAGGACAGUGUGUGGUGGGUAGUUUGACU
rnacentral:rRNA from 1 species